rnacentral:rRNA from 1 species
AUUGAACGCUGGCGGAAUGCUUUACACAUGCAAGUCGAACGGCAGCACGGACUUCGGUCUGGUGGCGAGUGGCGAACGGGUGAGUAAUAUAUCGGAACGUGCCCAGUCGUGGGGGAUAACGUAGCGAAAGUUACGCUAAUACCGCAUACGAUCUAUGGAUGAAAGCGGGGGAUCGCAAGACCUCGCGCGAUUGGAGCGGCCGAUAUCAGAUUAGGUAGUUGGUGGGGUAAAGGCACACCAAGCCAACGAUCUGUAGCUGGUCUGAGAGGACGACCAGCCACACUGGAACUGAGACACGGGCCAGACUCCGACGGGAGGCAGCAGUGGGGAAUUUUGGACAGUGGACGCAAGUCUGAUCCAGCCAUUCCGCGUGCAGGAUGAAGGCCCUCGGGUUGUAAACUGCUUUUGUACGGAACGAAAAGGUCUCCAUUAAUACUGGGGGCUCAUGACGGUACCGUAAGAAUAAGCACCGGCUAACUACGUGCCAGCCGCCGCAGUAAGAC